rnacentral:rRNA from 1 species
GACGAACGCUGGCGGCGUGCCUAACACAUGCAAGUCGAGCGGAGGUAUAUACGAAGAAGUUUUCGGACGGAAUUGUAUAUACUUUAGCGGCGGACGGGUGAGUAACGCGUGAGCAACCUGCCUUUCACAGGGGGAUAAGGCGGCGAAAGCCGCUCUAAUACCGCAUGAGACCACAGUGGUGAUGCUACAGGGGUCAAAGGAGCAAUCCGGUGAAAGAUGGGCUCGCGUCCGAUUAGGUAGUUGGUGGGGUAAUGGCCCACCAAGCCCGUGAUCGGUAGCCGGCCUGAGAGGGUGAACGGCCACAUUGGAACUGAGACACGGUCCAA